rnacentral:rRNA from 1 species
UGCCAGCCGCCGCGGUAAUACGGAGGGGGUUAGCGUUGUUCGGAAUUACUGGGCGUAAAGCGCGCGUAGGCGGAUUGGAAAGUUGGGGGUGAAAUCCCGGGGCUCAACCCCGGAACUGCCUCCAAAACUGCCAGUCUAGAGUUCGAGAGAGGUGAGUGGAACUCCAAGUGUAGAGGUGAAAUUCGUAGAUAUUUGGAAGAACAUCAGUGGCGAGGGCGACUCACUGGUCCGAUACUGACGCUGAGGUGCGAAAGCGUGGGGAGCGAACAGGAUUAGAUA